CUGGCGGCGCUUUUUAGCCAUGGUAACGGCUUGACGGUGGCCUGCAUCGAGAUACCACACGCAGUCUCUGUACUUGCUACUGGUCCCUAUGAGCGACGACUGUGAUAGUGGCCUGCAUGGACAAACCACAUGCAGUCCCUGUACUUGGUGGAGGAAGGGCCGACAGUCGACGCUGAGAUACUUCGCCUUCUCUGCGAAAGACGGCUCCGCCGUCAGGCGCCCCUGUGCACCAGUGCCGAGUGAUAUCUUGCGUGAGACGGAUAACUACACGAUGCAGGCCAACUCUAGGAAGAGAACGGCGUCUACUUGGCAGUGAUCACUUGAGGUGCACCACACGUACCGGCAUAGAUGAAUCAGGUGUCCACUACUGCAAAGACAAUGGAGGGGAAAGAGAACAUUGAUUCUCUACUCCCCGCUAAUGAUUUAUGGGACGAAAAAAUCAUUAUAUUGUCAGGUUAUAUACCUCUAAUGUUUUAUGCAAUCUUAAAUUUUUGUUCCAGGAAUAUAAUGCAAUAUAAUUAUUGAAACAAGAUCUGGAAUAGGGUGAAAGGUGAGAGGCCAGUGCUUAUAGGAAGUUAUCACAUUAUAUCCACAGAUAUAACGUAUAUAAUUAUUAGAGAAUGCUAAUGAAUCCGUUUAGUUCCAUCAACAUCUUUUUCCUUGAUAAUUCAACAAAUUUCUAAUUGAAACUUCUUGCUUAUUGUUCCGUACCAAUUUUAGUUACAAAUCAUUCGAUAUAGUGAAGUCCAUCACACAUACAUCCCAAUACCGACAGGUUCGUCUCGAUAAUACAGUUGUAUUCUUCGCAAAAUUGUAUAUCCAUCAAUAGGAUGCGAAAUAAACCAAAAAAUAACUUUUUUAGCAAAUACAUAGUUUUCGUUCAGAAAAGGGAAAAUAUAUUAAUCAUAAAGAUAAUUAACGCAUCUUCGAAUGCACAAGUACAUCCUGAAAACUAUUAUGUUAUUUCUGUUUUUACACAUUGUUGCUCCAUGCAAUAUCGAACAUCCGAAGGAAAUUUGAAAUAAUAUCAUCAACAAUAGUUUUCGUCAUGUUCGACGCUUAAUUUAUACAUCAGCUUUCUUUGUAUUAUAUGCUUAAUGUAUACAUCAUCUGUAGAUUUUUUUUCCUUAAAGUUCUAAUAGUAUAUGUAUACAUUUUUUAACCUAUGUUUGUUACCCGUUCUAUAGCUCAAUAUGAAAUAACAAGACUGUUAAAACAAUUAUUCAUGUUUCCACAGAUCUCGGUGAAGAUAAAAAUUUGAUGGAUUUCAAAUGUGUUUUGCACAUAAUUCUUAUUGAAUUUGAUUACAAAUCAAUUUUCUCUCCCGUUGCAACGCACGGGGCAUUUGUGCUAGUAAUAUAUAAAGUGGGGGAAACCCUUUUUUGUUAAUCAGUGCCGAGCCCAGCAAUGUUCAGUUGGAGGCGACGAGACCACCCGAGGCGCCAACCCGGUGGAGAUCGGGUGGUGGACCGAGUUCCACUGGCGUGCAUUGUAGGAGGCCAGCAGAGGUCAUUCGUCCCCCUGCUCAUACCAUUCUCUGAACAUUUUUAGGAAAGCCCUGAAGAUGAUGAUUCUAAUAAGCUAGUCUCUGAAGCCUUGAAGCUCGCCUCUGAUCUGUAUGCGUGUGAAGGUGUGAGGCUUUAGUUUUGGCCCCGUUGAAUUUUCUAAUGGAUUUAGUGAUGGUUUUUAAUUAUGUAAUAGGUGAACUGACAUGUGGUGUAAAUGGAUGAUCCGCUGUAUAACUCCCUCCGAUCCAAACUGUGGCAUUUAUUAUGGAUCUGAGGUACUGUAUUAGGCUGGUCAUAGUGGGUUGUAACUUAGACUAGUAACAUGCAUAUGUUAUUAAUCUAUGUUACUACCUUCAUAGUGGGUAGUAACAUAUGAAUGGUAACAUGCAAACCUUCAUUAAUUGAGAUAUAG
rnacentral:lncRNA from 1 species